rnacentral:rRNA from 1 species
CUUCCGUAGGGUGAACCUGCGGAAGGAUCAUUAUCGAGUUCUGACUGGGUUGUAGCUGGCCUUCCGAGGCAUGUGCACGCCCUGCUCAUCCACUCUACACCUGUGCACUUACUGUGGGUUUACGGGUCGUGAAACGGGCUCGUUCAUUCGGGCUUGUUGAGCGCACUUGUUUCCUGCGUUUAUCACAAACUCUAUAAAGUAUCAGAAUGUGUAUUGCGAUGUAACGCAUCUAUAUACAACUUUCAGCAACGGAUCUCUUGGCUCUCGCAUCGAUGAAGAACGCAGCGAAAUGCGAUAAGUAAUGUGAAUUGCAGAAUUCAGUGAAUCAUCGAAUCUUUGAACGCACCUUGCGCUCCUUGGUAUUCCGAGGAGCAUGCCUGUUUGAGUGUCAUGAAAUCUUCAAUCUACAAACUUCUUAUGGGGUUUGUAGGCUUGGACUUGGAGGCUUGUCGGUCCCUUUACAGGUCGGCUCCUCUUAAAUGCAUUAGCUUGGUUCCUUGCGGAUCGGCUUGUCGGUGUGAUAAUGUCUACGCCGCGACCGUGAAGCGUGUUUGGGCGAGCUUCUAACCGUCUCGUUACAGAGACAACUUUUAUGACCUCUGACC